rnacentral:tRNA from 1 species
GAGGAGAUAGUUUAAAUUGGUAAAAUAAACACCUUUCAUGUGUAAGUUGUGGGUUCGAGUCCUGCAAUCCUCACCA